GAUGAACGCCGGCGGCGUGCCUAAUACAUGCAAGUCGAGCGAACGGACAAGAAGCUUGCUUCUCUGUUGUUAGCGGCGGACGGGUAAGUAAAACGUGGAGAACCUACCUAUAAGACUGGGAUAACUUCGGGAAACCGGAGCUAAUACCGGAUAAUAUUUUGAACCGCAUGGUUCAAAAGCGAAAGACGGUCUUGCUGUCACUUAUAGAUGGAUCCGCGCUGCAUUAGCUAGUUGGUAAGGUAACGGCUUACCAAGGCAACGAUGCAUAGCCGACAUGAGAGGGUGAUCGGCCACACGGGAACUGAGACACGGUCCAGACUCCUACGGGAGGCAGCAGUAGGGAAUCUUACGCAAUGGGCGAAAGCCUGACGGAGCAACGCCGCGUGAGUGAUGAAGGUCUUCGGAUCGUAAAACUCGGUUAUUAGGGAAGAACAUAUGUGUAAGUAACUGUGCACAUCUUGACGGUACCUAAUCAGAAAGCCACGGCUAACUACGUG
rnacentral:rRNA from 1 species